ACAUGGCGGCCAACUUGAGGAACAUCAACGCCCGGCACGCCGCGUCACCGCCGUACCACUGCACGGUGACGUUCCACGCCGCGUCCAACGGCAUCACCACCACCGUCACCAGCAGAUCGGCCGCCGCCAGGUGACGGAGGAGAGGAAGAGGAGGCAGGUGACGGCCACGCGCACCGCGGCGGCAGCCGAGAAGGAGCAGCCGAGCCAGGCGGAAUUUGCCCUGCGCCGCCGCCCGCUGCAGCGCCGAACCUUCCGACGGC